CGACCGGGUCGGACAGUCGCGGGCGCAGCGCCGAAAGGCCGCGCAUGAGGAAAGUCCGGGCUCCGCAGGGCAAGGAUAACGGGUAACGCCCGCCCAGAGCGAUCUGAGGAAAAGUGCAACAGAAAUAAACCGCCGGAGGCGGCUCGCGCCGCCUCCGGCAAGGGUGGAAAGGUGCGGUAAGAGCGCACCCAAUGGCGUGUGAAAGCGUCCAUUGCUGUAAACUCUAUCCGGAGCAACACCGCAGAGGGAGCAAGGCCUGCCCGGCUGCUUCCGAGAAGGUGGCUGGAGCGCACCGGCAACGGUGCGCCUAGAUAGAUGACUGUCGAUUACAGAACCCGGCUUACAGACCCGAUCGUAAA
rnacentral:RNase_P_RNA from 2 species